ACCUGGGUGGCUCAGUCGGUUAAGCGUCUGACUUCGGCUCAGGUCACGAUCUCAUGGCUCGUGGGUUCGAGCCCCGCAUCGGGCU
rnacentral:tRNA from 1 species